UUGGGAAAAUUCUUUAUUACUAUAAACUUGCGAUAGUCAAUUAUGUAAAUUACCACAUAGGGUUUUCUUUUCUAAUUGCCAGCAUAGUUCAGAAUUUCUUCUCUCACGGGCAAAUAUCAGACCAGAGUCUGAGGGCUGUGGGUAGGAAAAUUUGGACUUGGGUCUAUGAGUUCUAACAAUGACUUGAUUUGAGUGGUUGAAUGGGGGAAUGGAUUGCCUGAAAAGUAAUGAGCUCUCC
rnacentral:lncRNA from 1 species